rnacentral:rRNA from 1 species
UACGAAGGGGGGCUAGCGUUGUUCGGAUUUACUGGGCGUAAAGCGCACGUAGGCGGAUCGUUAAGUUGGGGGGUGAAAUCCUGGAGCUCAACUCCAGAACUGCCUUCAAUACUGGCGAUCUAGAGUCCGGAAGAGGUGAGUGGAACUCCUAGUGUAGAGGUGGAAUUCGUAGAUAUUAGGAAGAACACCAGUGGCGAAGGCGGCUCACUGGUCCGGUACUGACGCUGAG